AGUUCGUAUAUGAAGCAGAUCCUGGCAGAGAAUCGUCACAUUGUUUUCAGUGUUUUCGGAGAGUGAAUCCUGACAACAUUGGAGAUUUCAGACAAUAGUCAUCGACUACGAUCUUUUAAAUAACUUGACCAGAGCAUAACCGGUUAUCUGCCAUUACCGGACUGUUGGGACAAUCUUUUGACUUUAAAGACAACUUGACCAGCGCAUAACCAGUUAUCUUCACCCAAGAGACCUACUGUUGGGACAAUCUUUUGGCUUUAAAGAUGCUGUUUGCCAUCGUCCAGUUUAUUGAUGAGAAGGAUCUGCCAUUUGCAGUGGUUCCGCAAGUGUGGCUCAGCAAGGGCAUAUGCUAUUGGCCUCCAUUUAACCUUCGCAAAAAGGACAAAGGCAACAAUUUAGCCAUCCGCUGCACGCCUCCACAAAGCACCUGGGAGAAAUAUAAUUUUAAGUUUAUGAAGGGAGCAGGUAAAUGGGUCUGGCAUUUUAUUUUACUACAUUUCAUUUGU